CUUUUCAGCUUGUUUUUCAUAUUUGUGUUUCUGUAUAUUUUUUUGUUUGGUGUGCUCGUCAGUCGUCACUACUUCUGGUUUUCUCAGUCACGGAACACCAAUCAUGGAUAUUCCAAAUGUUUCAGUUUCUUACUAACUAUCCAAGAAAAAGUUGAAGACAACCUAAUCUUACUAUACACCAUCUCUUUGGGAAGAAAGCAAAGUAACCUGAACUACUCAUGGGAGAGGACAACAGUACCAAUGUGAUAUAUAUACAUAACCGUUGAGCUAUCUGUAGCUAGGAAUAGAGACUUUUCGUAGGUCGUCCUUCAAAAUUCUCCAGGCCUACCAUAACAAUAUAGUUCAAUAUUGUAUGUUUCAUGCGUUCAUAUCAGACAAUUAUUUUCGGUGAAUUGAUUUGUUGCAUUUGGAUUUUGUAAACAACCGAUAUCACUUUCGUCGUUUAGAGUUUUAG